UAGAAUGUUGCCGGAGCAGGCCCACUCACCGCCCCGAGUUUGCGUGGAGGGGUGCGAGGGGCUUCGGUGAAGGAGGGAGUCAUCAGAUUAAAACCGCAAGGAGGAGCGGCCGGAUUGGGCGGAAUUGGAUUUUUCUAGGAAAGCUAGCAAACAGAAAGAAAAGCUAGCAACUGUGUGCUGAGAUGAUAUGAUGGAAAUACGAACAUUCUAUUUUGAUAGGCAGGUCGCAUUUAAUUUUACACCCUGGUCGGUCUUCUGAUGCCUCACUCCUGAAGCAGCUUCAGCAAACACGAAAGCAUUUACAAAUAAAGUCUCUGGGGACUGGGAGGAAUGGGUGAUCCUCUGGGUCAUUCUCACGGCUUUCCAAUCCAAUCGAUGCCGGAUGAGAGCCUUGUGGACAGAGGGCAGAUAAAUUUGUCUUCAGAUAUAUUGCUGGGUUUUUUUUUUUUUUAAAUGAAUACUUGUGGUUUAUGAACACUCGUGGCUUAAAUGAAUGAAUCUACUCAGAAGACCAGUUAUUCACUUUUAUUCUGCCUCUGCUGUUUCAAAGAACUUCAGAUCCGUGGGCCCUUCGGCAGCCAUCCAAACUCCUUGUGGUGCUGGGCGGAGAAUGAAAUUUGAGGGAUUUAGGGAUUCAGCUGCGGUUAAUGAGAAAGAUGUCAGGAUGAACCAGAAAGGAAACCCAAGCCCCUGUGAGCAUUUCUCUGCGCCACUGGCUCUCCAGCCCUGGUGAGCAUUAGGGGCAUCUGGAAAGCUUGCUCACACAGAGUUCCAGACGGCAUCUUCACAGUUCUGGUUUUUGUCUUUUUGUUUGUUUGUUUUUAAGACAGGAUCUGCCUUAGCAGUUCUGGAGCCCACUAUAGACCAGGCUGGCCUUGAACUCACAGAAAUCUGCCUGUUUCUACCUCUGGAGUGCUGGGAUUAAAGGCGUGUGCCACUGUGAUUGGCCUGCCAUUAUGGUUGUGUAAAUCCAGCGGUUUAUAUUCCUUUUUACAUCUCUCUCUCUCUCUGUGGAGCGUGCAUGUGCCCCCUCAUGUCAAGGUGUGUGUCUAGAGGCUUGCUCCCCACCCUCUUGCUACGUUUAUUUUUGUGUGUAUAUGUGCAGGCACACACGAGGAAGUCACAGGACAACUUGUGGAAGUCGGUUCUCUCCUUCCAGCUUGUGAGUUGGUGGGCAGGCAGGUCCUUAUGCCUAACAGCAAACACCCUUUUCCCACUGAGCUGUUUUGCUGGCCCCCAGGGGUCUGCAAUUCCAGCAGGUACCUAGGUGGGACUAGAUUGAUGCUGUUAGCCUGCAGGACCUCGCCUGGGAGCAUCUGCCACAAACCAAGUCGCAGAAGUGGGGAGUUUGUUUGCUGUUCCUUGUAGAGAUUAAGAUUAUCCAUUCACUCCGUGGUCAUCAUAUUCUCUGAGGUUUGCAACAGUUCUGUCACCAACAUAUAUUUAAGUGCUUCUAGGUACUGCGUGCCAGUCAUGACUUAGAAGUUAAAAAACGAAUAAGACAUGAUCUUUGCCCUGAAACGCUUCCGAAUCUCUCAGGGAUGCAGAUUUUAUCCAGCGUCGACAGCAGACGUGUGACCUCUGUGGUUUAACCAGGCUGGUUAUGAUAAUAACCUAACAACAGUCACUUCAAGGUGGUCAGCGCCUGCACCCUCCUCUCUGGGCAUGACUCCGAAGAAUAGGCUGUCAAAGGAAGGUCCUCCCUGACGAACAGCCAGCCAGUGCUCUUAACCACUGAGCAUCUCUCCACCUCCACCACCACCACCACCACCACCAUCAUCAUCAUCAUCAUCAUCAUCAUCAUCAUCAUCAUCGUUUUGAGAUAAGGUCUUACUCAGUAGCCCAGGUGGGCCUGGAACUUUACGUAAUCUUCUAGUUUCAACCCGAGUGCUGUGAUCACAGUCACGAGACGGGGGAGCUGACAAAGUCCCAAGUGAGUGUGCAUUGUCGACACAAGCACAGGCGAGUGCCUCAGACCCACGGGAGUGGCAAAGCCUCCGCUGGCAGGGCCCUCUUUCGUAGGAGCACAGAUGUGACUGAGUCCAGAGAGCAUCAACAGCUCCCUUCUAGCUCCCUGUGCUAAGACUUGCAGAGCUCCUGCAGACAUUAUCAAGAGCCCCUCUUUCUCACUGGCGGUGUGUGUGAUAAAGGCCCUGAUGGCGUGCCUCUCCGUCACACCUGUAUGUGUGCUUAACAUCGGCCGCCCAAGCCAGAUCAAGUUUUCGCUGAGCAGGUCACAGCACGAGAGAACCAUGACCUCCACUGGCCUAGAACUUGUGACGUAUUGAGGCUGGCCUUUAGCUUCUAAUCCUUCUGCUCCAGGCUCUCAGCCACAGAUGCUGUGGUUCCUCCAUGAGCCUCCCCAGAUUCUCCAUCAGGAAUGAAGAAGACUCCCCGGGUACUGGAGGUACAACCGGAAGAUGAUCCUCGCAGGCAACACCCUGAACGGGGAUUGCUUUUGCUGAAGAAAAUCGCCUUGUUUAAGGUCACACCUCAUUCUGGGAGAAGCUCUUAUCAACACCAGCCUGGGAGGCCCAGCCUGACAUUUUGCGAGACUUAGGUAAACUGAAGGAUGGUUUUCUGACUUCAGGUUUUCUUCUGGCCACCAUAUGCUGGCUGUGGCACGCCUAUGUA